rnacentral:lncRNA from 1 species
CGGCUGAGGAGGCCGCUGGGCUGUCUUGCCGAGUGAAGCACAGCAGUCUGGGAGGCCAUGAUAUAAUCAUUCACUGGGGUGAAUACUCCCUUCUCUUGACGCUGAUGUAUCUGAGUGUAACCGUCACCCUGGUCAUGCUUGUUUUCCUGGCCUCAUGGUGCAAAAUGCAGAGCUCAAAUCGGAAUGUCCUCUCUUCCUGUAUAUCCAGCCUCGCUUUUCCCUCAAAAGACAACAUCGGAUGCCCUAGAAGUUCAGUCCAUCAGCUCUGCUUGUCACAAGAAUCAUGGGUCAAAACCAGAAUCUUGAAGUGGAAAAGAAGCCUAAACCAUUUCUGGUGACAUUAGUUUGUAUUACACAUGAAAUUGUUGUCUGCUUCUUAAAUAUCAUUCAUGUCUGCGAAGACAGAUACAAUAUUUUUCACAAAGCUUGAUUUGCAAAGAUAUGGAUGUUCCAUUUGCAAAUUUUUACUUUUAAUCUUCCAGAUAUAUUAUUUCUACUUUGAUUCCGUGUUCAUCAACAUUGAUACCUCAAGCUGAACCUCAGAUGGUUCUUUCUACAUGGACAUGUCCCUGGAUUGCUUAGCUGAAGGCAUUGCCUUCUCCCAAAUUUAGAUUUAUAUUCCUCAACCCUUUCAUUUCUUCUGCUCUAUUGCCAUUGUUCAGGUUUUUGCCUCUUCUUUCUCUCAGAUGCUUGAAAAUAGGACUUAUGUGUAUGUAUCUGUAUAAGCACUCACCGUCCCAUGCUCUGAAGCACCCAGCUGUAACUAAUGCUCUUCCGUUGCCAUCUUGUACUUUCUUUGUAAUUUUCCAAAGAGGGACACGGUGUUUUCAUUUUGCCAUCCCCUGGAGCAAAUUCUGUUGCUGCUUUUGCC